rnacentral:rRNA from 1 species
UACGUAGGGUGCGAGCGUUAAUCGGAAUUACUGGGCGUAAAGCGUGCGCAGGCGGUUUUGUAAGCCAGAUGUGAAAUCCCCGGGCUUAACCUGGGAAUGGCAUUUGGGACUGCAAGGCUGGAGUUUGGCAGAGGAGACUGGAAUUCCUGGUGUAGCAGUGAAAUGCGUAGAGAUGCGGAGGAACACCGAUGGCGAAGGCAGCCCCCUGGGUUGACACUGACGCUCAGGCACGAAAGCGUGGGGAGCAAACAGG